UACGUAGGGUGCGAGCGUUAUUCGGAAUUACUGGGCGUAAAGCGUGCGUAGGCGGCGCGUUAAGACAGGUGUGAAAGCCCCGAGCUUAACUUGGGAAUUGCGCUUGUGACUGGCGGGCUGGAGUGUGGCAGAGGGAGGUGGAAUUCCACGUGUAGCAGUGAAAUGCGUAGAGAUGUGGAGGAACACCGAUGGCGAAGGCAGCCUCCUGGGCCAGCACUGACGCUCAGGCACGAAAGCGUGGGGAGCAAACAGG
rnacentral:rRNA from 1 species